CUGCAGCUCCAAACUCCUCUUCCUCACUUCCGGUUUGAUCCAGUCGGCAGCAGCCCUCGCGCUCCUUCACCUGACGUCACGAGCCCAGCCUGCUAUUGCGGCUGCGCCCUGCGCUUUGUUUUGUUUCCGGUUUGACUGCGCUGACUCAGCGCAGCGCUGACGUCACUACCUGGGCAGAAACUUUUUCUUU